rnacentral:rRNA from 1 species
GACGAACGCUGGCGGCGUGCUUAACACAUGCAAGUCGAACGGAAAGGCCCUGCUUUUGUGGGGUGCUCGAGUGGCGAACGGGUGAGUAACACGUGAGUAACCUGCCCUUGACUUUGGGAUAACUUCAGGAAACUGGGGCUAAUACCGGAUAGGAGCUCCUGCUGCAUGGUGGGGGUUGGAAAGUUUCGGCGGUUGGGGAUGGACUCGCGGCUUAUCAGCUUGUUGGUGGGGUAGUGGCUUACCAAGGCUUUGACGGGUAGCCGGCCUGAGAGGGUGACCGGCCACAUUGGGACUGAGAUACGGCCCAGACUCCUACGGGAGGCAGCAGUGGAGAGUAUUGCACAAUGGGCGGAAGCCUGAUGCAGCAACGCCGCGUGCGGGAUGACGGCCUUCGGGUUGUGAACCGCUUUCGCCUGUGACGAAGCGUGAGUGACGGUAAUGGGUAAAGAAGCACCGGCUAACUACGUG